rnacentral:rRNA from 1 species
UGGGGAAUUUUGGACAAUGGGCGAAAGCCUGAUCCAGCAAUGCCGCGUGUGUGAAGAAGGCCUUCGGGUUGUAAAGCACUUUUGUCCGGAAAGAAAUCCUUGGCUCUAAUACAGUCGGGGGAUGACGGUACCGGAAGAAUAAGCACCGGCUAACUACGUGCCAGCAGCCGCGGUAAUACGUAGGGUGCAAGCGUUAAUCGGAAUUACUGGGCGUAAAGCGUGCGCAGGCGGUUUGCUAAGACCGAUGUGAAAUCCCCGGGCUCAACCUGGGAACUGCAUUGGUGACUGGCAGGCUAGAGUAUGGCAGAGGGGGGUAGAAUUCCACGUGUAGCAGUGAAAUGCGUAGAGAUGUGGAGGAAUACCGAUGGCGAAGGCAGCCCCCUGGGCCAAUACUGACGCUCAUGCACGAAAGCGUGGGGAGCAAACAGGAUUAGAUACCCUGGUAGUCCACGCCCUAAAACGAUGUCAACUAGUUGUUGGGGAUUCAUUUCCUUAGUAACGUAGCUAACGCGUGAAGUUGACCGCCUGGGGUGUACGGUCGCAAGAUUAAAACUCAAAUGAAUUGACGGGGUCAUAGCUGUUUCCU